ACGCACGCUGGCGGCGUGCUUAACACAUGCAAGUCGAACGGAAAGGCCCUGCUUGCAGGGUACUCGAGUGGCGAACGGGUGAGUAACACGUGGGUGAUCUGCCCUGCACUUCGGGAUAAGCUUGGGAAACUGGGUCUAAUACCGGAUAGGAGCCAUCUUUAGUGUGGUGGUUGGAAAGUUUUUUCGGUGUAGGAUGAGCUCGCGGCCUAUCAGCUUGUUGGUGGGGUAAUGGCCUACCAAGGCGGCGACGGGUAGCCGGCCUGAGAGGGUGUACGGCCACAUUGGGACUGAGAGACGGCCCAGACUCCUACGGGAGGCAGCAGUGGGGAAUAUUGCACAAUGGGCGCAAGCCUGAUGCAGCGACGCCGCGUGGGGGAUGAAGGCCUUCGGGUUGUAAACUCCUUUCGCUAGGGACGAAGCUUUUUUGUGACGGUACCUAGAUAAGAAGCACCGGCUAACUACGUG
rnacentral:rRNA from 1 species